GCGCGCGUGCGCGUGCGCGCGUGCGCGACGCAGAUUCAAAUUUGCCGCCGAUUACUUUUCCGUUAGUCCCGCCCACAACAGUUCCCGGUCGGAGCCGUACAAUGAUGGAAGGGCGAGCGUCGCGGGUAAUUUGAAUUUAUUUCAGGGCAGGCUAUGCUUUUGGGUCGUGAGAUUAACAGUAGUGUAAAGCAAUCGUAAAGAGCAGUCGUCGUGGGCAGGAGAAUUCAUUUGAACACAUCCGUCUGUCCAUUCUUCGGAACAGUGUGAGGAAAAACGAAAAACUAACACGUCCUUUCAGCUAGAAGACCACAGCGGACAUCAUACCAACCGAUCACUGGCUGAGUUGAGAGUUAAAUUCUACAUGUCAUGUGGAAAGACUGUGGAGAUCUACAGCAGCAUUGCAGUCCAGCCAGAUGAUCAACCAGUAGCUGCUCGCAUCUCAGCCUGCUUGAUGGAAAUUUCCGACUUUCACCUGGAUGACCUUUACCUUCAACUCCACCUUGCCAAGACAGAAGUUCUCGUGGUUUCAGCCACCCAUCCUUUGUGUUAUAAUCAAUCAGUUAAACUUCACAGAACACAGUGCUAGAACUGCCUGAUCUUGAAGAUUUGCCCAGUACAACAUUGGGAAGACCAGGCCAUUCCUAUCGGAAAAUGCUACACAACAGAACAACAACUGGCUCUGCAAGCCUGUACCUAUACGCCCUCUAGAAGCUUGCGCUCUGAAAGUGAACAGCAUCUUGUGGUGCCAUCCCAAAGGGGCACAAACUCACUUUAACUGACCUUUACCUGGACUGUCCCAUGCUGGUGGAAUAACCUGACUAACUCAAACCAUUUUCAAGAGACUGCUAAAGAUGCAUUUUUUGUGUGUGAACAAUUGUCCUGAUGAUACUUUCUGAUUAACUGAAAAAAAUAAUUUCUAUGCAUACUGUGCUAGACUAACUGGAAAUUGUCAUUGUACUUAUUGUUGCAUCCAUUCCCAGGUGAAAAAAAAAGUAAAUUUCUAUAAUCUACUUAAAGUGCUCUAUUUUCGUGCACUAAUUUUGUACUUAAAGUCCCUGUAAAGUCAUUUU